rnacentral:rRNA from 1 species
UGGGGAAUUUUGGACAAUGGGCGAAAGCCUGAUCCAGCCAUGCCGCGUGUGUGAAGAAGGUCUUCGGAUUGUAAAGCACUUUAAGUUGGGAGGAAGGGCAGUAAGCGAAUACCUUGCUGUUUUGACGUUACCGACAGAAUAAGCACCGGCUAACUCUGUGCCAGCAGCCGCGGUAAUACAGAGGGUGCAAGCGUUAAUCGGAAUUACUGGGCGUAAAGCGCGCGUAGGUGGUUCGUUAAGUUGAAUGUGAAAGCCCCGGGCUCAACCUGGGAAAUGCAUCCAGAACCGGCGAGGUAGGGUAGGGCAGGGGGUGGUGGAAUUUCCUGUGUAGCGGUGAAAUGCGUAGGUAUAGGGAGGGACAACAGGGGCGGAGGCGGCCACCUGGGCUCAUACUGAAACUGGGGUGCGGAAGGGUGGGGGGGAAACAGG